rnacentral:rRNA from 1 species
CCUACGGGAGGCAGCAGUAGGGAAUCUUCCGCAAUGGACGAAAGUCUGACGGGGCAGCGCCGCGUGAGCGAUGAAGGCCUUCGGGUCGUAAAGCUCUGUUGUCAGGGAAGAACAAGUACCGGAGUAACUGCCGGUACCUUGACGGUACCUGACCAGAAAGCCACGGCUAACUACGUGCCAGCAGCCGCGGUAAU